rnacentral:rRNA from 1 species
UACGGAGGUCCCAAGCGUUGUUCGGAUUCACUGGGCGUAAAGGGUGCGUAGGCGGUUGGGAAAGUUCGAUGUGAAAUCUCCGGGCUCAACCUGGAAAUUGCAUUGAAAACUAUUCGGCUAGAGGAUUGUAAGGGAGACUGGAAUUCUCGGUGUAGCAGUGAAAUGCGUAGAUAUCGAGAGGAACACCAGUGGCGAAGGCGAGUCUCUGGACAAUUACUGACGCUGAAGCGCGAAAGCGUGGGGAGCAAACAGG